rnacentral:lncRNA from 1 species
CUAACUCCAGAAAAUACUUAUUAGAGAUUAGGUGAAUAUAAGCAACUGUUGUCUGUCUUUUUUUUUUUUUUUUUUUACAGUUAUUAAACUUAAAUGAUGAGAAAGUUCAGGUGCAGGAAUCCAGUAGCAAUUAACUUUUAUUUCAGUCUGUGAUGUUUCAUCUUCAAUUGCACUCUUCUCAUCUAUAACGUUUUAUUGUCUCUCAUUAGAAUUUUUAUUCUUUCCUCGUGUUCGUCAAUCCGAAAAUAUUAACGUUUUAAUAAAUAUAUCGUGUAGAUCGGAAAUCCUUAUUUAAUGAUACACAUUGUCUGAUAAAAUAUGAGAUUAUAUGGGGUCCAGAUCGACAAAAAAGGGCACGAGUUAUCGAUACAAAGAGCAUUUUUGUUUUUUCUUUUUUUUAUGGUGGAAGCAUUUAUUUUACAAUUUCUUUAUUUUUCGCAUUUCCGACAGCGUUAAGUCGAUGAGUGCUAAGAUAUUUAAGGAAACGGGGCAAAGAGAUUUUCUAAUGGUUGCGUCAUUUAGACCGACGAUUUCCGAAUAAAUCUUGCAUUAGGAAAAACGACAGCAAAAUGUCUUUCGGUUGGAGACGUAAUCAAUACUCAAUUUGGCACCCCUGCGGAAAGGGGUCCUUAUGUAGCGCACAACGAUCCACAGUUGAAAUAUCAUCUUCCUUUAGCUCCCUCUUCAACGUCACCUAAACAAGAACGUAUUUAUUGGAACGUUUCUAUCCAAUGCAAAGGAAAAAAAAAAAAAAAACCUUUAAAUUUUUUGUCAUAGUUUCUCCUCACCAUUAUCUCCUAACUUUUACAGAUAAAAAGUAAAACCCGCUUUCAUCUUCAUCCCAUCAAUAUUGUGGUUUAGAUUUAGGAUAUAAAAAAUGAAAGAUUGUUAAGGGGGCGAAGAAAAAAAAGAGGCAAAUUUGCGAUAUUUCGUACAUAUUGCCUUAGUCAAUUAGAUAAAAAGGAAAAUAUUUUGAAAAGUAAUUAAUGCCGUUUUUAUCGUUUUAGAGUCAAACUUACUUUUAAAAGAAAAUUUUGUGAAG